ACCACCCCAUGUAACAGCUUGUUAAGUGCUUCAGGCUACUUGGUAGGUGCUAGGUAAUGUGAAAAGAUUGAUGUCUACCCAGAGAAGCUUGUACAAAAAGAUACUCCAAAAAGAUCAUGCUAUCUAUUAACUGUCAGCUGGAUAUUUAUGUAAAGCUGUAACCUGUUCGCCAAAACUCUGCCGUCUGGGAUUCAGCCUCACUAGUAUACUUUAGUUCCUCAUACUUCUCCCUUCCCCAGGGACUUUGAACUGCAUGCCACAUACUCAGAGUAUUUCACAGAAUUGCAAUUGUAUGUUUUUAUGUGAUCCUGUGAUUAAUGAGGAUCUUCCCUGAUUGAAAGCCCCAAGAAGGCGGAAGUCAGCAUGAUGACUUUACUUAACAUACGUCCUCACGCAAAUGUCACAAUGCAUUAUAAGGGCUCUAUAAAUAUUUUUUGAGUGAAUGAACACAACUUGUUUUGUAAUUCUUUUUUUUUACAUAUGACUAUAAAAUUCCUUUAAGGAUCCUGAGGAUGAUGAAUCUUUGACAGGAGUAUUAAAUAUGUAUUGUAAUUAUGUAUUAAAACUCCAUAUUCUAAUUAUAUUGGCACAAUUAAAAAAUAUCUUAGAGAAUAAAAAAAACAUCUAGCUCUUCCUUCUUUAUAUUUGUAAAGUAAAAUGUUAGAACAUGCUUUAAAAAAAUGUGAAUCAUCAUGAAUGCUUACUUUUCGCAUGAUCAUUGAUAAUUCUCACAACAUAUUGGUUUCUACAUGUACAUGGCAGGACUGAUUGUUGUGGACCAAGAAGUAUAGCUCAAUGGAACCCUGUAAUAUACAUGAACAAGUUUCUGGAAGUUAUGAGAUGUAAUUAAUCUAAGAAUCUUGAAAUGAGGAGAUCAUCCUGGAUUAUCCAGUUGGGCCCUAAAGCCAAUGACAAGUGUUCAUGUAAGAAAACAGCAGACUGAAACUUGAGACAGACAAAACAGGAAGAAAACAGAAAAGUGAUGUGAAGAUAGAAGCUGAGUGGAGAACAGUGUGGCCAUAAGCCAAGGAAUGCCAACCCCCAUCAGAAGGUGGAAAAGGCAAAGAAGGGAUUAUCUCUUGCAGCUUCUAGAAGGUGUGCAGUCCUGAUGACACCUUGAUUUUGGACUUCUAGCUUCCAGAACUUUGUGAGAAUAAAUUUUUGUUGUUUUAAGUGACACAUUUGUUGGUGACUUGUUACAGGAGCCACAGAAAACUAAUACACCAUAUGAGCUCAAUAAUAUGACUAUGUGUUCAUCAAAUCCAUGAGAUGAAAAAUUUCUUGAGAAUCAUUGGGACCUGAUCAAGAAAAUACAACCAAAGCAUGGUUUCCAAGCGCUGAUGGAAUAAGGAAAAUGGAAGCAGAGAUUCUUGGGCAGUGAGAGUGUCCUGACAGGGAGGCUGAAUUGUCAAGGAUGUCUAGCAUACAUAUUGAAAAAAAACCUGUUUGUAAACCUAGUAGAGAUUAACUUUGUACACAUACUCAUCUACAGAAUAAAAAAAUGAUAGCUCUCAAUAACUGAAUAUUCAUUAAAAAAUUUCCCUGGAUGGAUUUACUUAGUGUAAAUAAGUUCAGUAUAAAUAAGUUCAGGAAAGAAGGAAUCUCAAUUUCUUCAUGCAGUGUUUUUCAAAGAGAAUAAAAGUCAUAAAGAAGUUUGAAUACAUGCAAAAUAUUAGAAAACUUUAGAUCAGGCUAGAGAUGGUUACCAUGGGGUAUGCAAUUUUUGGUUUUCUAUAUUGGUUGAAGUCACUAGGUAGAUAUUAAGAAUGGCAGUGCUUCGAGUGUGGCUUUGAAUCUCAUGAUUUCUUUCUUUCUUAGAUAUUUUCUUCAGGAGUUUUCCCAUGUGCAAUCAGUAUGCUUGCCACUUUUCAAAAUUUAUUAAAACAGGGUCCUUGUCUGGUUUCAGCAAUCUGUCCCACACAAUUAAUAGUCAUUUUUAUUUUCCAUUAUAGAGCCAUUGAUUACUUUUCCACAUCAGUCUCUAACUGAACUAUACAUUAAAAAUGGAUUAUUGUUGAGUCACACAAAGCAACACUGAGAGUUAUUUUGCAGCAAAACUUUGGUGAUGUUGACCUUAUUUAUUGCUCAACGUAAAACUUAAUAUAAAACUCAAUAUGGUCAGUUUCAUAAAAAUCAGGGCAAGACUGCAGACAGCCUGCUUGAUUCAUUCCUUACCACAAGGAAUGGACAUGAAUUUUCAAUUCCAAGUAAGCAUUUAACAUCUGUAUGUUAUGGCCUUUCCAAAAACCUGACAGGAAUGUCAUCAAUGAAACUGAGAAGAAAAUAUUUUUGACAGACUUUUUCUUUGGCUUUCUUUUUAUUCCACUUGCCAAAUUCAAAAAGAAAAAAAAUUCUUUCCUGCACUUUCCAGAUAUUUACUUUAUUUAAAGAAUGAGGAAAUCUGGGAUCAAUGGCAGAAGACAGGGUUGCAAAAUGAGUUGCUGUAAUAAUCAAAAUUAAGGGAUAACUUAUAGUCUUGUCCACAACCAUUACCCAGGGUACUGAGUUGGCUCUGAAAUAAUAGAAGAAACUAAGGGAAGGAUUUUAAACAAUAGCUACAAUCCCCUGUAUUAUUUGACAACUUAAAGUGUCAAAUUUAUAUUUUCCAGGGUGGAAGUUUAAGCAACGUGUGUGUGUGUGUGUGUGUAAUUCAAGGUACAACAUUACCAAAUUACUCUUCAUCUUAAUGAGAUGAACCUAGUAAUCUAUAAAAAGGAAACUUUGUUUUUCUGUUAUAUACUGUGACUAGGUUCAGAGUAAAAGAUUCUUAUGAGUUUAACCUCAUAACUACAUUGCCCUACAUUGCCAUCAGGAAGCUGCCAAAUAGCUACUAAGUAUAAGAGCUAGAAUGUGAACCCAAGUCUUAUUAAACUAUUUAAUUCCAGAGUCUUUCUGUGUAGUAACUACACAAUCCAAAUUCAUAAGAAAAAGUAAAAGAUGUUUCCUAAUAUGUAAUGUGAUCAGGGGAUGAUAUGUGUUAAUGAAUAGCCUACCAACCAAGUCUCCCAAAUCUCCUCUGCUACUCUUUUCAUUCACCCAGGAUAUUAACAUUCAUUCAUUACACUGAAGCAAAAAUAGGCUUACAAAUAGGCACAUCAAGCAAUUUUACCUUCUGUUUUCUUUGUAAUUUCUUCUUAGGAAAAAUUUCAAUCAUAUCCAAAAGUAAACAAUUACAUAAGGAACUACCUUGUGCAUAGCUUCCAAUUCAUGGUCAAUCUUCCCUUCCUAUUUCAUAUUAUUUGAAAACAAAUUUCACUCAAUAUGACAUUUCAUCUAUAAAUAUUUCAAGUUGUACUUCU